GCCCCGAUAGCUUCAAUUGGUAGAGCGACUGCUUCGUAAGCAGUUGGUUGCCGGUUCGAGCCCGGCUCGGGGCU
rnacentral:tRNA from 1 species